ensembl:lncRNA
GUCGAUUUCUUUUCUCUGAACCACUUGGCAGUGCGUCACGAGUCCUUCAGCUGAAUCUCCUGGCUCUAGAUCAUCUUCCCCCUGAACCACAAGACCAGUAUCCCACUGCAGAAUCAACAGCUAGGCAUCUGCUGUCCAGUCUGAGUUUAGAUUUCCCCAGUUAUUCCAGGAAUGUCUUUCCGAGUUGCGUUUUACUUGUUUUGAGAUCCAGGGACCUGUCGGAAAGUUUUCGGGAUUGCAUCUGGUUGCAUCUCUUUGGCUUUUAAGGAAGCUUCAGGAGGUGGAAUGUGCAGGGCUGGUGACCUGCACUGUCUCGGGACCGGCCCUGGGGGUCUGAUCAGGCGUGCCCACCUGGACGAGGCGCUUGACUCUCCCCAGCAUCGCUUAUCCCUGUGUGAGCAGCCUGAGCCUCGGGCAGGAGUGUACAGAAAACAAGCUCGACACCGGAUUCCACAUCCUGGGCCCUCUGAAAAAGACGUCCAUCCUGAAAUAGUUCAUUUAUACAAGAGAACAGAGCGGAAAGUCUUAAUACGGUAACGUGGACGCCCAGGUCCUGCUGCCCACGGAAGGACUAAGACGUGCCAGGACCAAUCACACCUCCCAGCGCCCCCUGCACCCAGCUCCCCUCCACGCCGCCCACUGGGAACCAGGGCCUCACCUUUCUCUCCAUCUCCCUGAGCUUCUCCUGCUCUGUGGUCUUACAGCCACACGGGAUGUUAAGAGGGAGUGUUCAUUAUAUUGAUGCUAGUCUCCUGUAACAAACCGGACAGCUUCUUCCUUGGAAUAAUUUUAUUUAUUUAUAUUUUUCGCUGCCCUGGGCUUUCGUCGCUGUGAGGGCUUUCUCUAGUUGCC